GCUGUUCUGAAUGACUACGCUUUUGGCUAAAUGAGUCCUAGAUGUUAUCAAGUUAGGUUGGGCCAUCCACUUUUGGGGCCCGUGGGCACCUCUGUGUCUGAGGGACCCUCUUGUGCCUCCACCCUGGGCAAACUCCGGUCCGUCAGUGGGUAGAUCCGUGGCGCCGUGGGCACUCGGUUGCGUGGGCAGACUAGCAGAUCCC